ACCAGCAGCCAUAUCACUCUGCAACUCACAACUGGCAACCCUCUCUAGCUAAGCAGGUGUGAGCCUGGUCAGUACCUGGAUGGGAGACCUCCUGGGAAAAAUUAAGGUUGCUGCUGGAA
rnacentral:rRNA from 1 species